CAGGCCCACAGCCAGUGCAGAGAAGCAGCGCUAAACCAGGUCAACUCUGCCUGUCCCGCCAGGUCUGGCGAUCUUACAACCUUCAGGAUUAAAUGACCUUCUGACUAGACUCCCAGACCCAUGUGUAAUCAAUCAGCGACCAUCGAGAUCCUCAGCCUUCCAACCCUCUGAAGCCUUGAUCUGUCAUAGACAAUGCCCUGUCACUGUAGCAGAGUCCCUGACUUCCUGGAGCAUCCGAACUGUGAAAAUCAACAAGAUCUGACGACCUAUGUGCAACGGCAGUCUGCAGGAGAGAUCAGCUACUCAAGAGUCGUACAGCGUGGGAAUAGGCUCUUCAGUUCAGCAUGACAAUAAUAAACCAAAACUUAAAACCUAAA